rnacentral:tRNA from 1 species
GGGAAUGUAGCUUAGUUGGUAGAGUGCUUGUCUCACAUGCAUGAGACCCUAGGUUCAAUCCCCAGUAUCA